AUACGUAGGUGGCGAGCGUUGUCCGGAAUGAUUGGGCGUAAAGGGCGCGUAGGCGGCCCGGUAAGUCUGGAGUGAAAGUCCUGUUUUUAAGAUGGGAAUUGCUUUGGAUACUGUCGGGCUUGAGUGCAGGAGAGGUAAGUGGAAUUCCCAGUGUAGCGGUGAAAUGCGUAGAGAUUGGGAGGAACACCAGUGGCGAAGGCGACUUACUGGACUGUAACUGACGCUGAGGCGCGAAAGUGUGGGGAGCAAACAGGAUUAGAUACCCUGGUAGUCCACACUGUAAACGAUGAAUGCUAGGUGUAGGGGGUAUCGACCCCUUCUGUGCCGCAGUCAACACAGUAAGCAUUCCGCCUGGGGAGUACGGCCGCAAGGUUGAAACUCAAAUGAAUUGACGGGG
rnacentral:rRNA from 1 species